AGCAUGCCAACUUAACCACACGGCCAUGGGGCUGGUCCCCUAAAUACUUUUGGAUGGUCCUUUAAACUUAUUUUGUAUUUGGUAUCCGGUAAUUCCAGCGUCUGCUGUCUGUUUGAGGAUGACCUGCAGUUUAUUUAUUUCAUGAUGAUGAUAAUUUCUUUCCAAAUAUGCUUUAGAGAGUUUUUAAAUUGUGUAGUCAGAUUCCUCUGGGACAUCUUUGAGACCUGUCUUGAAGUGUGUUUCUUAAGAGAGGGUUGGUUUUGCUCCUGUCAGGUGUUGUAUGGCGCCAUCAACCUGAGACUGCUUAUGAUAUGGGUUCUAGCUUAUAUGAGGGAGGAUGGAUUCAUGGUGAGUUAGGAAUUAUCAGGAGAGAUUUUUUCUUUAGAUUCUCUUCCAUCUAGAGCUAAAGCUGAGACAGAAGGUGUUCCCACCACUCGUCCCUUUAUAUUUUGGGUUUUUUUCUUCCUAUUUCAUUCACUGACCUAGUUAUCUUUUAGGGGCUCCUAAAUGUAUACAGUGAUGUAUACUACACCUUCCCACAUUGCAGUGGUCUCAGGAUUUGUCCUUUGCCACUUGAGCACAGGUCACUAAACCCAAACUGUCCGUUACUAAAAACUUGAGAAUGAGCCCAGUGGAGGGAGGCUCCUGUGCUUGCUUUCUUCUUCGAAUUUUCGCUUUCUUGUUAUUUCCUCUUCUUUCCCCCUAGUUCUACCAUGUAUUUAAAAAUAUGAAUUUUAUAUUUUACAAAACAUUUUUAGAUGUUCUGUACUGGGAGGGAUUCUCUGGAAUCUAGAUUGCCUCAGUGCCAAAAAUGGAUGUCCUGUGUUUGGGCAACAACUUGCUAUCUCGGUUAAGAGGAAUCACUGCCCUUAUUACCCUUCUCUUUCUCCACACAUUUUAAAUUCCAUCCUCAUCCUCUCCUCGCCCUCUCUUCUACUCCAACUAAUAAAUAAUAAGAGCUCCCAUUUCUUUGAACACUUGCUACGUGCUAGUCAGUGGUCUAAAUUCUUUACAUGUUUUAUUUGAUUUAGCCUUUAGAGUAGUUCUGUGGUGGAGGUAAAGUUUUAAUCUUUAUUUUGCAGAAGAGGAGGCUGAGGUUCAGAGAGAUUAAGCUAUGUGCCCAUAGAAGUCUGCUUGUCCACCAAACUAUACUGCCCGUCGUGACUGAUUGACAGGCAAACUGAUGUGUCAUUACCAAAUGUGUCAAAUGUGUUAAGUGCUGGGAAUAUAAAGAGAGAGACUCUGCUCUCAGGGACGUCUGAUCUGAUAGAUGAAGAUGGAUAUUGUAGCUGAAAACGUCAGAGAUAUUGUAACAGUGGAAGAGUAAGAACAAAACCACAGUGGUAUCAGCGCCAAAAGAAAGAAGAAAGAAUUCAGAAAUAUAAAGGUCUUUGCCAAGAAGAGCAAGUUUUUUUACUGUUGGUUUGAGCAAUUGCUGUAUUCAAUUUGUUGGCACUGAAAAAAUCAGCCAAGGAUAGGCUAAGCUUUCAUAUGUCUGACCUUGAGAUACACAAAAUACAAUACAAUACACUAUUUCCCCUUCAGUUUAGCUAAUCACAUGCUCCCUUUGAAUGUUAUUUUAGCCGUUUUGCCUUUGACCUUAUAAAAUGCAAAUUAUACUAUGCAAAAGCAGUUUUAAUAUAGGAAUUAAAUACAGAUUCCAUUUGUUUUCACCAAGUAUGUGCUAUAAUCAGGGAACACUGAGCUGUAUAACUGAUGGUAGAAUUUAGCUUAGAAUUAAAAUAUGGCAGUAACUGAAACAUAUUUGAGGGAGGGAUUCAAUCACAAAUAUGUGGGGUUUGGGUGGUUUAGAUUUUUGAACAAUGUAUUUUAGCAUGGAUCGAAGGAUGGGUCUGGGAAUUUUCCUGUUGAUUUUCAAGAGGAAAAAAUGUCAUUUAAGGGCUUAAUUUCUCUUUUUAUUAAAAAAAGGAAUAUGUAAUUGGAUACCUUAUUACUUCAAUGAAAGACAUAUUGCAGGCACUGACUAUAUGCCAUUGUAACUGGAGCUCCAGCCAGAGGACCUGGCUUUAGAGAAAGGGAUUAUAUUUGGACAUAGAGAUUAAGUUUUGUUGGAGUAAAAAUCUAGAAUAGUGAUUUUCAAAUGACUUCUGGGCCUUCUGGAAAACAUGUUAAUAUAUAAAAAUGUUUCCUGACUUAGAGAUUUUUUUGACUUUACGAUGGUGCAGAAGUGAUACACAUUUAGUAGAAACCAUACUUCUAAUUUUGAAUUUUGAUCUUUUCCUGGGCUGGUGACAUGCAGUAAGAUACUCUUUCUUGAUACUGGGCAGUGGCAGCGAGCCACAGCUCCCAGUCAGCCCUACAAUCAGGAGGGUAAACAACCGAUACACAUACAGCCAUUCUGUACCCAUCCAACCAUUCUGUAUUCCACUUUCAGUGCAGUAUUCAAUAAAUUAGACGAGAUAGUCAACACUUUAGUAUAAAAUAGGCUUUGUGUUAGAUGAUUUUGCCCAACGGUAGGCUAAUAUAAGUGUUGUGCGCUCAUUUAAAGUAGGCUAGGCUAAGCUAUGAUGUUCAGUCAGUCAGGUGUAUUAAACGCAUUUUCAACAAGGAUAUUUUCAACUUAUGACGGUUUUAUCGGGAUGUACCGAUUGUAAGUUGAGGAAGACCUGUAGAUUCUCAAGCACUCUCCCUCCAUCUCCCACUGUGAGAUUCCGAUUCAACUGGUUUGGGAAGAGUCCCAUAAAUUUGCAUUUUUAAUAAGUGCUCUAAGUGAUUCUAAUAUAGAUGGCUUUGGACUAUACUUUUAAGAAAGGGACCAUAGAGAUGUCUUCAUUUUGGAAUUUUUCAUAUCCAAAUUUCUUCUUCAUAAUGCAGAAUACAGAGCUAUUGAAAGGCAAAAGACUUGGAACAAUUCUCAUAGAUAUUCUUAUGCCUGAUUUCUGCUAAAGAAAGAUGACAUAACAAUUAAUGCCUGUAUGCAUGAGGGCGAUGAUUGUGUAUGGUCUUUUAGUUAUCUUGUUCCCUUUCUUUUCUUUCUCUCUCUCUUUUUUAUUUAGAUUUUUCUUUCAUAUACUCUCCUGGUUCUUCCGCCUUUCUUUCAGUGAUACUGUAUCAACAUUGUCAGUAUAUGGACGUUACAUACUACACUCUCUCCUUUAUAACCGUCAUUUAGGCUUAGUUCUACAAGUGAUAUAUAUUUAAUGUUCAGUCCAUGUGUUGGAUAUCUCCCAAAUCAUUUUGUGUGUUGAGAGCAUAGUCUCUUUAGAAGAUUCUGUAAGAAGGGUUCAUGGGAGCAAUAUUUCUUAAGUACAUUCAUAACAGUUUUAUCUGUAGCCUUUUUAUACUAGUAAACAAGUUUAGCUAGAUGUAAAAUCCUUGAUGUGGGAGUUUCCCUAUUUUUUUUCGUGAAUACCAUAAUUUUUCUCUUCUUGAAUACUUUAAAUAUAUUAUUCGUUUGUCUUGUGGCAUAAAGUGUUGUUGCUGAAAAGUCUGAUGACAGUAUUAUUAUUUUUCCUUAUAAAUCACUUGGUCUUUCUGCCUGGUAGCCCAAAUCAUCUUUUUCUUUUUAUUUAAAAUCUAAUAUCUUUUACUAGAAUAUGUCUCAGGGUUGACUAUUCUAGGUUGAUUUUCCUAAGUUCAGGAAAUUUCCUUUAAAUAUAUAGAUUUAUGUCAUCUUUUAUUUCAUAGAACUUUUCUUAACUUACGGUUUUUAGUGUUUGUUCUACCCAAUUGCUUUGAUUUCUUCUUCGGAGACUCCAUUUAUGUAGAAGUUCUCCCUCCAUGUUCUAUCUCUAUCACUGUCUCUCCAAUCUCUUUAAAAAUAUAUUUUUCGUUAUUUCUUUUUGACUUAAAAUACU